AAAAUUGAUGAAAAAAACUCAAACCUCUCUCUUCUCUUUCCAUUAUCAAUCGCCAUAUCUGAUGCUCUGUUGGAGCAUUCCUGCCGCUGCCUCCUCCACUUGUGCUGCCUUCACCCAUCACUUUUGCUGCCACCUCCACCCCUCCAUGCUCCACUCGCUGGCCAUUGCAUAACUCAGGUUGAAAUUAUGGGGUUUUAAUUAGUUUCUGUCAGUCUCCUCCUUCCCUUCCAGUGAAUGAAUUGAGAAUUGAUUCGAUGAGGGAAAAAUGAAAUUUCAUUACCAAUUUGGCAAAAUUCAUUGAUCAAUUCCAUCUAAGGGUCCAGGAACAAACAAAAGUGCCCAACUUCUUCGUUAUUUCCUUGAAGCCGAUACUUGUUCAGGAGAGAACGAGGAAUAGUCUCUAUUAUUAGCAGUUGAAUUGGUAAAAAGGGGCAAUUUCCUCGUACAAAAAUUGAAGCUACAUUAGAAGAAGUCGUCUUCGGCCCCUCCAAACUUCAUUCGCUUGCUUUGUAGUUCCAGAUCUUCAUCAAGUCAAGAAAUCCCAGUUGCAAACAAUAAAUACCACACUUGUACGGUUUACUCCAGGAUUGACUGAUACUAUAACCAAUAUGAUAUGGCUUUGCAAUUUACUCCCUACUAUUCCAGAUUUUUCAGAUAUGGCAUCUGAAGCAACAUCUCAGUCAAAAGGGAAAGGCAAAGGGUAUUUCACUUGGACUCCUGAUAUGGAUCGUGUAAUGGGCACCUGUUUUAUUGACCAAAUGAACCAAGGAAACAAAUUGGAUGGUAAAUGUGCAUGGAAGACAGCAGCCUACACCGCCGUAAUGAAUGCUUUAUUCGAUAAGCUAUAUAUAUGAUAAGUAUCUGGAGUGGUCACCUGAGAAUUGAUAUGCGUAGAACAGCUAUGCCGAAUAGGAAAGAUUUUUGGGUGAAACAGAGCGAGCAAGAUCCAUCUCUGAGCUUGCAAUUCAGCAACCUGCAUUAGACAUUCCACAGUUACUAUGGAAGGAAUCCAUCGACUUUGAGAUACCGGUGAAGGACUUGUCCUUGAGCUGCAUGAACCUAUGUGGUGAUCAAUGUUGCUGUUUUUUUUUUGUUUUUUUCAUGCUAUCCAGAUGCUUGUUGAGCACAUUUCACAUCAUACUAGAGAUUGGUUAAGAAGUGUUAUUUGUCGAGUCUGAUUGGACAUGCAAGUCAGAAAAUGAUACUUGUGUUGGCAUUUAAAUUUUGCUUCCAAAUUUUUUUGCUGGCCUUUGGCAUUUUCAUUCGGUUGUAUUGUUAGGUCACUGGAGGAAGAGCAUCUAGGAGUCUUGAGUUGCUGUAAUUUCUAUGUUUUUGCACUCGCUGAAUGUGUAUUUUAGGUAUUUUUGCUGUUGAGGUUUUACACAUAAUUAAAUCUUAAACACAUUGGUGUUGGAGUAAUCAGUAAUUUCUGACUACUGUGACACAUUGUAGAAAAUUUGAAGUAUGGGGAGUGAAAUGGAGACUUGGAACUUGUAGUAGUUA